CUUUGUCACUAGCAAAGUCCGAAUCCACAUACCCUUUUAAGUUUAGUUUAUCAGUCAUUUUCUCAUACACAAGACCCAGAUUUAAAGUAUCAACUAUGUAUUUAACAACCAUAUCAAACCUGCCCAAUGUGGUUUACCGGGGUUGGACAUAAAUCUGCUUAGAAAACUAAUUGCAUAAGCCAAGUCAGGUCUUGUAGUUAUCAUAGAGAACAUAGUGGAACCUAUGACAUUAGCAUAAGGUAUGUUGUCGAUCUCUUUCCGUUCUUCCUCAGUUUUAGGAGAAUGGGCACUAGAAAGAUUCAUGUGAGCUGCUAAAGGGACACUCGCAGACUUUGAUUCCUUCAUUCCAAAUUGGUUACAACUCUAUUUAGAUAGGCUUCUUAGGAAACAACCAAUUUAUUUUCAGAUCUAUCUCUAACAAUCCCUAGAAUCUUCUUAGCACUCCCUAAAUCUUUCGUGUCAAACUCAGAUUUUAAAAGAUUUUUGAUUGUAGUGAUUUCAGAUUUGUUUAAGCCACUUAGGGGCAUGUCAUCCACAUACAAUAGUAAGUACACCUCAUGUCCCCUCUAGAAUUAUUAUAGUACAGACAAGCAUCAUAAUCACUUCUUUUAAACGUAAGAGUCAACACGUUUGUACCAUUGUCUUGGGCUUUGUUUGAGACUAUACGGGGAUUUUUCCAGUUCACACACACAAUUAGCUUUGCCCUUCACCUCAAAGCUUUAAGACUGAUUCAUAUAUAUAUAUAUAUAUCGUCUUCCAAUUCCCCAUGUAGGAAGGCAGUCUUAACAUCAAGUUGUUCUAACUCCCAAUUGUACUGAACAACUAAGGCAAGAAUUAGUCUAAUUGUUUUAUAUUUGAUCACAGAGGAAAAUAUCUCAUUGUAGUGAACCCUCUCCUUUUGUGUAAACCCCUUAGCCACUAAUCUGGCAUUAUACCUAGAAGGAUCACUAGGAUUAUUCCCUUCUUUAAGUUUGUAAAUCCAUUUACAUUGCACUAUCCUAUGAUCCUUAGGAUUAUUAACCAAUUUCCAUGUUUUAUUUUCCAUUAGGGAUUGCAUCUCUUCUUUCAUUGCCUUUUUCACAAAACAGAUUUUGGACCACUCACAGCUUCUUCAAAAGAAGCAGGUUCAGCUUGUUCAAUGAUUUCACCAGACACCAAGGCAAAAUCAGUUAGGUUCUGAGACUCAUAUCUUGGGUUAGGUCUUCUUUCCCUUCUUUUUCUAUCCCUUGUAAGUUGGUAAUCUUGGAUUGAAGUGUUUUUAGUUGAGGGAUUAGUAUUUUCAGUUUCGUUUCCAGUCUAAGGUUCAUUUAAUUCAAUAGGUUCAAGUUCAGGAUCCUGUUGUUGUGUUAAAGGGAUUUCAGUUUCGCUUUCUUCAGGUUGGAGUGAAUUAAAUCUAGUUAACUUCACCUUAGUUUGAACACUCUUUUCAUUCCCAGGUUAUGCAGGUUUACUAGUUUUCUGUUUUAGGCAUGGCAUUUCAAAUUCAUUGAAAACCACAUCUCUGCUAUUAAUAAUUUUUAUCCUCGAUUUACCCAAAACCCAUAAUUUGUACCCUUCAACACCUCCAGGAUAGCUUAACAUCACAUAUUUGGUGGCUCUUGGCUCUAAUUUUCCCUCAGGCUGAUGUGCAUAAGCUGCACAUCCAAAUACCCUUUUGUGUGUCAGACUUGGUGGUCUUCCUGUCCAAAGUUCCUGUGGUGUUUUAACGUCCACAGAACUUGAUGGAGACCUAUUAAUAAAGUAUGCAGCUGUACUAAUUGCUUCUGCCCAGAAACCUUUAGCUAAACCUGAGCUAAUAAGCAUACAUCUGACCUUAUUCAUGAGAGUCCUAUUCAUUCUCUCUGCUACCCCAUUUUGUUGGGGUGUUAACCUGAUUGUUCUAUGCCUCAUUAUUCCUUUUUGCUUACAAUAGUUGUCAAAUUCAAAGUUACAAAACUCAAGACCAUUAUCAGUCCUUAAAGUUUUUAACUUCUUGUCUAGGUUCUCAACUAUCUUAAGCCAGUUUCUAAAUUUUUGAAAAGUUUCAGAUUUGUCCUUUUCUGGAAUAAUUAUCCACUAUGGACAAAAAAUUACUUAUUUUCCCCAAACGUAGGAUGUUUUUUAGGUCCCCACAGGUUUGCAUGCACAUAGUCCAAUGGUCUAUUAGUACUAUAAGAACUUAUUUCAAAAUUCACCCUAUGAGACUUAUCCAACACACAAGUCUCACGG
rnacentral:lncRNA from 1 species